CACUUUGAUAUGAUCAUUUAUUCUCUAUAAAUGGAGAACACCAAAAAAAUGUUCAAUUUUAAUCAUUUACUGUUAAAAAAUUGAAACAACCGUUAAUGAAAUUUCCCAAAUAGUGUCAAGUGCGUAGAUGUAUUUGUAAGGCACAGUCACUUCUGGCAAACCAGUCAGUACCAGAAAAUGACCAGUUUUUUUUAGAAAAAAAAAUGAACAUAAUUUCCAACCAAAAAAAAAAAAAAAUCUACAUGAAAAAUAUUUCUAUAAAAUAAAAUGGACAUGGUGAAACAUGAUUU